rnacentral:rRNA from 1 species
CGUACGGGUGAGUUAACACGUGGAUCAUCUGCCCUGGAGUGGGGAAUAACGAUGGGAAACCGUCGCUAAUACCGCAUAAUCCCGAGAGGGGAAAGCAGAAAUGCGCUCAAGGAGGAGUCCGCGGCCGAUUAGCUUGUUGGUAGGGUAAUGGCCUACCAAGGCUGCGAUCGGUAGCCGGCCUGAGAGGGCACACGGCCACACUGGCACUGAAACACGGGCCAG